UAGUCAUAUGCUUGUCUCAAAGAUUAAGCCAUGCAUGUCUAAGCACAAGCCGAUUAAUGGUGAAGCCGCGAAUGGCUCAUUACAACAGCCAUAGUUUCUUAGAUCUUACUUUUCUACUUGGAUAACUGUGGUAAUUCUAGAGCUAAUACACGCAAACAAGCUCAGACCUUACGGAAUGAGCGCAUUUAUUAGAACAAAAACCAAUCGGGCUUCGGUCCGUCAUUUGGUGAAUCUGAAUAACUUUGCUGAUCGCACGGUCUUCGUACCGGCGACAUAUCUUUCAAAUGUCUGCCUUAUCAACUUUCGAUGGUAGUUUAUGCGCCUACCAUGGUUGUAACGGGUAACGGGGAAUAAGGGUUCGACUCCGGAGAGGGAGCCUGAGAAACGGCUACCACAUCCAAGGAAGGCAGCAGGCACGCAAAUUACCCACUCCCGGCACGGGGAGGUAGUGACGAAAAAUAACGAGACGGCUCGCUAUGCGGUCCGUCAUCGGAAUGGGUACAAUUUAAAUCCUUUAACGAGGAUCUAUU
rnacentral:rRNA from 1 species